UUAUAAAAAAAUAAUUUACCUCCAUUAGCACUUUUAUCCAUUGUCUGAUCAAAAAGGAAAACGCAACUUGAAUAUUUAAACAGUGGUGUGUGUUCCGGAUGAUUGUUAUCUAACAUGAAAAACACGAGUGUCAUUCGGUUUAUCGAGAAAAAAAAUGAUCGUGAAAGAAUAACUAACGUUGAUCGAGCAUUACAACCGGAUCUUGAAAAAUAUGGUAUCGGAUAUUGAAUGCAGUUAUGUGUUAUUCUUCUUCAAAAUCUGUAAAAGGAUCUCCUGUAUCUUUAAAAGAUGGAACAAAUCAGAAGAAAAAAAUAUAUGUUGUGUAAAAAUGAUUGAACUUCCUAAAUUGUAUUGUGCAUUACGUUAAAGGACAAAUGCCGCAC
rnacentral:lncRNA from 1 species